UCGAUAGCACACUGUUCUCUUGAUUAGCAACUGACGCCGGUUUGGUAGUAAAAUGCCACAUUGUGCUACUUUCGGAUGUAAUUUCCAAUCGAAAGGCAAUAAGGGGAGUGGUGUCACUAUAUUUAUAUUUCCAAAGGACAAGAAGGGGAGAAAAGGUGGGAGGAUGCCAUGGACGGAGUACAGCUAGCUAGCUAUAUAGCUUCCUAAAAGUGGCGCUGAGCCCAGCAUUUUCUCCUCAAUGGAUUUAGUCGACUUCCACUGAUGGAAGACCUCACCGGGAGCGAUUGGCUAUAAGCCUAAGCUAAAACCAGAGGCUUGCCCGACGAUCACCCCCCAUACGGAGUCUAAAAAGUCCAGGGAAGCGAGUGAAAUGUGCGUUAAAAACGUGACAGAUAAGAUGCUGUGUGCUCUCCUGAGAAGACAACUAUGCUACGGUAACAUCAGGCAAAUCAGACUCGUCGCCACUCAUCACAGAGGAAGACCACCUUACUCCACACCACAGUAAGUGUUGUUAACACUACUUCUAUGUGUUGUCAAUCCAAAAAAUGUAUUUGCGGCUACUUGGACGGUUUUACUUAGUUCAAAUGCCGCGGUGCAGUGGCCAGCUGAUGUGAGAAAAAAUGUAACCUAUCUCGAAAUAUCACUAGCAUAUGUGGCAACGUGCACCGAGUUGGCUACUGAGACUAAUGUAGUGGUACGACAUGGUUUGAGUCUGAGAUCUGUUGUCUAUUCACAGUCAGUGUCUACUUUUGGUAUUGACUAGUGAUACAAAAAAUAGUUUUAGAGAUGUAUUUAGCUACUGGAAAUCUUGGUUUUAUAUCUGAAUCUAACACAGUACAUCCAUUUGUGCAGGUAUGAAGGAGGGCGCUUGCACCAACUUCCAAAAACCCAAAUGGAUGCCUGUCCCGUUAUUGUCGGCCAUUUCAGUGAUGAUGAAUCUGAACGUCAGUCUUGAACAGAAACUAGAGCUCUGAUGGAUCGGGGUUCCAAGCAGCUGCUGAUAGACCAUGAUGGCUGCACCUCAUGACCACCUACAUCCUGAAGACAAUAAAUAUGCUUAUUGGGCUGUAGUGACAAACAUGUACAUUUAUUUAGAGGGACACUGUGUGAGAUUUUUAGUUGUUUAUUUCCAGAAUUCAUGCUGCCCAUUCACUAAUGUUACCUUUUUCAUGAAUACUUACCACCAGCAUCAAAUUAAGUAUUCAUUAUGACUGGAAAAAUUGCACUUUUCAAACAUGAA